rnacentral:tRNA from 1 species
GGCUCUGGGGUGUAACAUGUGUGGUUGCAACCCACAAGAAGCAGAGUAAGUUCUGCCAGGGUCU